rnacentral:rRNA from 1 species
GCGAGUGGCGAACGGGUGAGUAAUAUAUCGGAACGUACCCUGGAGUGGGGGAUAACGCAGCGAAAGUUGCGCUAAUACCGCAUACGAUCUACGGAUGAAAGUGGGGGAUCCGCAAGGACCUCAUGCUCGUGGAGCGGCCGAUAUCUGAUUAGCUAGUUGGUGGGGUAAAGGCCUACCAAGGCAUCGAUCAGUAGCUGGUCUGAGAGGACGACCAGCCACACUGGAACUGAGACACGGUCCAGACUCCUACGGGAGGCAGCAGUGGGGAAUUUUGGACAAUGGGGGCAACCCUGAUCCAGCAAUGCCGCGUGAGUGAAGAAGGCCUUCGGGUUGUAAAGCUCUUUUGUCGGGGAAGAAACGGAUUGGUUUAAUACACUGAUCUAAUGACGGUACCCGAAGAAUAAGCACCGGCUAACUACGUGCCAGCAGCCGCGGUAAUACGUAGGGUGCAAGCGUUAAUCGGAAUUACUGGGCGUAAAGCGU